CAAACUUUAAUUCAUUAUAAUUUUUGGAUUGAACUUUCUGAAUAAUUUGCAAUUAAGUCUCACAGUUUAAUUUUUUUGACUAAAUGUUAAUAAAUUACUAGCAUAGAAAUGAUGCAGUUUUUUAAUUAUUGAUGAUGCAAUAAUAAUUAAGAAGCUACAUCACUUCUAUAUUAUUAAUUCAUCAACAUUUAAUCCAAAAAAGUAAAUUAAAAAACUUGAUUCAACAAUUUAAAAAGUUCAUUAAAAAAUUACAAUAAAUUAAAGUUUGAAAAAUAAAAUGUCCCGCACCCCAUAGUUUGAGUACUAAAAGCGUAAUCUAGGGUAAUUUACCCCCCUAAAAAAAAGAGAAAUGUUUAAGUCUAGAAUCCAAAGAAAUCGUAAUCUUCAUUAUCCCUUAAUCCAAUGAUUUAAGACUUUAAAAUUUUUUUUUGCUUUUUAUUUUAAAAAAAAGAGCAAUAAGACUAGCGUGUUAAUAAUAGUCUUUAAAUGGGUUAAAUUGUAAAAAUUUUAAAGCAACGCUAUAUAUACACUAUAAAAGAGGUGUAUGAUAUACAUCCCAUUUAUUUAAUGAGUAAAUAAAUGUGGGUAGUAAAAAUAUGUUAUUCAUUAGAUUAGUGAGGUGCAAGAUAUAUAUCCCUUUCAGAACGGGCUUUUUUAUAAAAUGACCCUUCAGAAAUUCAAAAUUGGCAAAAUGACUCUGCCAAAAUUUUAUUUGUAAAACUAACACUCCUUUCGCUACGUGGGCGCCACGUCAGGAUUUCUGACAAAGACGGUGAAUCGUUUACCGUCUUUGUAAUAUUUAUUGUAAAAGCAGUGAAUGGCUCACCGCCUUUAGAAGGCAGUGAACCAUUCACCGCCUUUAGAAGGCAGUGAAUUUAGUGCAAAAUCUCCCUUACCGCCCUUUCCCCCUUUCCGCCCUUUCAAGUCCGCCAUUUUUGUGCCAUCGAGAAGACGGGGAACGAUUCACCGUUUUAUCAAAGACACCAUAUCCAUUCACCGACUUCACAACAAAUAUAACAAAGACGGUGAACGAUUCACCGUCUUUUUGAGGAAUUCCUGAUGUGGCGCCCACGUGGCGAAAGGAGUGUUAGUUUUACAAAUAAAAUUUUGAUAGGGUUAUUUUGCCAAAAUCGAAUUUCUGGAGGGUCAUUUUAUAAAAAA
rnacentral:lncRNA from 1 species